ACCUAUAAAUAAAAAGCCUAUAUCAAUCAAAUUCAAUUAUAUUUUCUUCUUACUUUACGACUCUAUAGUUAAUUUAAUUGAUUAACUUAGAUUAACCCAUCGAUAUAGCCAUGCACGUCACUUUACUCUUGAUCUGUGCCGCAUUGGUAAACUGUCUGCCCUGUAAAAAACGUAUAUCAGACGAAUUCCAAUCUGGAAGGCGCAAUGAGAAUGAGGGAUAUCGUUACUAUUUCCACACUACUACAACUACAAGUCCGAGGCCUACAAGAAGUCCAAUUACUAUUAAGACAAUAACACCUAGAGGAAAGAUUUGCGCCCCCUAUGAAUUCAACGAGACGAUUUGCGAAUAUGUUGGGGAUAGAGAGCUAUGUGGUUUUAAUAAGAAUCCAGAGGUGGUGCAAAGUAAAUCAAACUCAAAAGCGCGGUACUUAUCUAAUGGCUGUUGGCUUAGAAAAGGCCGUGUCGAGUGCGGGUAUAAGGAACCAUUUGACACUAUACGCCGACCGCCUAUAGUAUACCCAAAUUUUUUUCGCCGGGAUGACGAUCAAAGCACCGUUCAUGCGAUUUUAAAUGGAAAAAAAUUGGUUAUAGUGACAAGUACUACAACAACAACUACCACUACAGAGGCACCGACUACGGUCUAUAAGGAAUGUGUAGAGAUUCAUUCACGAAUUGUUUGCCGUACUACUCGCGAGAGAGUUGUGGUGUAAUAUAUUUGUAUUAAAGUUAAGUAUUUUAUACAAAUCAU